CCUACGGGGCGCAGCAGUAGGGAAUCUUCCACAAUGGGCGAAAGCCUGAUGGAGCAACGCCGCGUGGGUGAAGAAGGUCUUCGGAUCGUAAACCCUGUUGUUAGAGAAGAAAGUGCGUGAGAGUAACUGUUCACGUUUCGACGGUAUCUAACCAGAAAGCCACGGCUAACUACGUGCCAGCAGCCGCGGUAAUACGUAGGUGGCAAGCGUUAUCCGGAUUUAUUGGGCGUAAAGGGAACGCAGGCGGUCUUUUAAGUUCGAUGUGAAAGCCUUCGGCUUAACCGGAGUAGUGCAUUGGAAACUGGGAGACUUGAGUGCAGAAGAGGAGAGUGGAACGCCAUGUGUAGCGGUGAAAUGCGUAGAUAUAUGGAAGAACACCAGUGGCGAAAGCGGCUCUCUGGUCUGUAACUGACGCUGAGGUUCGAAAGCGUGGGUAGCAAACAGGAUUAGAUACCCUGGUAGUC
rnacentral:rRNA from 1 species